rnacentral:rRNA from 1 species
AUACGUAGGGAGCGAGCGUUGUCCGGAAUUACUGGGCGUAAAGGGCGCGUAGGCCGUGUUAUAAGUUAGUUGUAAAACGUGUGGGCUUAACCCGCAUUCGCAACUAAAACUGUAACGCUAGAGGCAUAGAGAGGCAGACGGAAUUCCUGGUGUAGCGGUGAAAUGCGUAGAUAUCAGGAAGAACACCGGUGGCGAAGGCGGGCUGCUGGCUAUGAACUGACGCUGAAGCGCGAAAGCCAGGGGAGCAAACGGGAUUAGAUACCCCGGUAGUCCUGGCAGUAAACGAUGUAUGCUGGGUGUGGGCGUAGCGAUACGUCCGUGCCGAAGUUAACGCGAUAAGCAUACCGCCUGGGGAGUACGGUCGCAAGAUUGAAACUCAAAUGAAUUGACGGGG